AGUCCAAUGGUAAUGCAGCCGGCCGCAGACCUGUAGGCCGGCGGUUCGAUUCCUGG
rnacentral:tRNA from 16 species